GGCCCUGUGGCCCAAUGGAUAAGGAAGGCAUCUGACUACGAGUCAGGGGAUUCCAGGUUCGAGUCCUGGCAGGGUCG